rnacentral:tRNA from 1 species
AGCAGUAUGGCUUAGUGGAUAAAGCAUGAGCCUGGGAGCCAGAGAACCUGGGUUCUAAUCCCAGUUCCGCCA